GAUCAUGGCUCAGGAUGAACGCUGGCGGCGUGCCUAACACAUGCAAGUCGAACGAAGCUUGACGGAUGAUUUUUUCGGAAUGAAACCAGAUAUGACUUAGUGGCGGACGGGUGAGUAACACGUGAGCAACCUGCCUUUCAGAGGGGGAUAACGGCUGGAAACGGUCGCUAAUACCGCAUGACGUGUUCGGAUGGCAUCAUCUGAACAUCAAAGAUUUAUCGCUGAAAGAUGGG
rnacentral:rRNA from 1 species